AUUGAACGCUGGCGGCAGGCCUAACACAUGCAAGUCGAACGAGUGGCGGACGGGUGAGUAAUGUCUGGGAAACUGCCUGCUGGUGGGGGAUAACUACUGGCAACGGUAGCUAAUACCGCAUACCAUCGGAUGUGCCCAGAUGGGAUUAGCUUGUUGGUGGGGUAAAGGCUCACCAAGGCGACGAUCCCUAGCUGGUCUGAGAGGAUGACCAUCCACACUGGAACUGAGACACGGUCAAGACUCCUACGGGCGGCAGCAGUGGGGAAUAUUGGACAAUGGGCGCAAGCCUGAUGCAGCCAUGCCGCGUGUAUGAAGAAGGCCCUAGGGUUGUAAAGUACUUUCAGUCGGGAGGCGUUACCGACAGAAGAAGCACCGGCUAACUCCGUGCCAGCAGCCGCGGUAAUAC
rnacentral:rRNA from 1 species